UCCCACAGCUACAACCGGUAAUCCUUGGGAGCUCCGAAAUUUACGAUGAAUCGGAUCUCACGUUGUAUUUCGUGUCAUCUAUAGAGAGCGACUAAUGAAGAUAAAAGGUCUCUCUCGCUAAAACCGCCCGUUUCUCUCUCUAAGGAUAAAGACGACGACAACAAAAAAGCUUCACAGAUGUGGUCAGUGGAUCUAUAUCCAACAACAAUAAACGAUCAUCAUCAUCUGAACAGAAUCAUCUGUCACGGAAGCAAGAGGUCCGAAAAUGGUCGAAAAUGGCGGUGAAUUGGAGAAAUCGACGCCGGAGGAGCAGAGCUGUUUCGACGGCUACGGAAUCCAGGUGCAGAUCAUAUUCGCUUACAAUCGACUAGCAGAUGGGUAAUGCCUUUGUCUACCGCCGGUGCCUGGAUACGUACGUGAUUUAGUUUAGGUUUUGAUUUUUCUGAAUGGGGGGCUGGGCUGUUAGUAUAUUUUUGUUUAGUUAAGAACUUAUUUUAUGUUUAUGGGCCAGUUGAGUUGAGUGCAUCAGUGCAUGUAUCCAGCGGUAUCAGUGCAUGUAUCGACCACUAACCCCUAACAUGCCUUUCCUACACCCCUAACUGUUAGUAUAUUUUGUCUACACCCCUAACCCCCACUAGGAAAGGCAUGUGCAUCAGUGCAUUGCAUGUGUCGGCCACUCAUUCCGACUGUUGAUGUAUCCGACUGUUGAUGUAUGUGAGACUGCGAGAGAUCGGAACUUAUUUUGUUUGCAUUGAAUAGCCUACCGGCUUAUAAAUAAAAAUCAUGAAACUAACUAUUUUUGUAAGUGUUUAUUUAGUUUAGGUAUUGACUUUUAACAUCAGUGGUAAAGAUUGAGGUGAUCCGAUGGGUUAAAAACGACAAUUGUCGGUUCUGUUUUAGUUUUGCUUCUUAUUUCGGUUUUAUAUAGAAUAUUGAUUAACAAGUUUGUGAUGCCUACAAUUGGUUUGAUUUCCAAAUUGAAGCUCCAUGUUACUAAUUUUAAGUAUAAUGGUUAACUCUGCAUAGUGGGCCACCUAAAAUUAGUGUACAGAUUGGUUAUUAAUCAAUGGUGGAUGCUUAAAGUUUGGUUGAAAUUUCAGGUCAAGUGUAGUCAUCAAAGUCAACCUGAUACUGUUGAGUUAUAGCUGGUUUAGAGUUGUGUCCAGCCCCUAAUUGUGUUGCAAAUCACAUAUGCCUUCAGUCUUAUUGACAUGUAAAAUUAAUGGCAAAACAGUACUUCCAACUCCAGUUUUUGUUAGAAGUUAGAUGCUCUUUUGGACCUUUUUUUACUGACAGGUUAGAGGCUGCUUUGGGUGUAAAUUAUGAGUGUCGAUUUACAGGAUAUCUAAGACUGUUUUCAGACAUUAUUAAGCUACACAAAUCACAUGCUAAUUUUGAUCUUGCAGUAAGAAAGAGAGAUUGUAAUGAAGGUCCUCGAGACUAUAGCUGAUGUUGGCCUAGAUACCCAACUAUCGGAUAAGGAGAUCGCAACUCGCUUGUCGAUCUCGAUGAUGAUGCCACGAAUAAACUUGACCGGAUGCUUCAGUUACUAGCGAGCUAUUCAGUUGUGUCACGUACACCCAAGGGGACUGUAAAUCUAAGCCGGCUAGAGUGUAUCGACCUGGGAUUACUUCCAAGAUGAGGCCAAUCAGGUAUUAGUUGGUCACAGGAUAGCAAGUGUACUUAUGUAUAUAUCUAAUGUUGAGAAAGGUGGCGAGACGAUAUUCCCACAAUUAGAGAUGAAAGAAUCUUAACUCAAAACCGACGAAGACUCAUACACGUGCACAUCACGUGAGGGUGUGCAAAAAUGGUUAUGCUGGUAUGUCAAUUCACCAAGGUAGAAACUAUGUACUCUUAUUAGGAAUGAGCGUGGUACAGGUACCGUAUCGAAACGGUACCGAAAUUCAUCAAAACUGGGUCCCGGUACCGAAAUAUUCGGCAUGGUCCGGUAUGGAACCGGUAUUUGAAGGUAAAAUUCGGUAUUUUACCAGUACCGUACGACCGAUACCGAAAAUGCCAAAAGCGAGCAUUUGGUACCGUUACCCAGUACCAAAUGCUCAUCCCUAACUCUUAUAGUGUUAAAAGAAAAUUACAUUAUACUAUAUGUUAGUAUAUGAAUGAAAGGAACAGUGAACUUCACAGAGAUAUGUGAUUUACGCCAUUACUUGACGUGUUGCUGGGUGUUGAAGACAUGUGUUAUAGUGUUUUUUCCCUUUUUUAAGCUGCCACAUAUAUGCAAUUCAUACAUAGUUCUCUAAAGCAAUUGUUGUUAAAUUAUAAUCUCGCCGGUGAUUCCGGGUGGAAGCGGAUCUAAUGCAAUAGCUUAAUCUCGCCAGCGAUCCCGACCAGAAAGUGGGUUACAACCGGAUCUUUGAAGUGCCUGAAGUUUGCUACAUUAUCUAUUAAUUGAAUUGAGCCAUUGAGGGAAGGUGCGGAAGGAGGGAGAAUGCAUACGGAAGUAUAGAAAGGUAGAGGUUGGAAGGUAAGGUGUUUGUUUUUUAAAAGUGUUUGAAGCUGUUUGUUGAAAUGUCUAGGGGCAAGGAUACAAGGAAUAAACGGUGGUGAGGGUGUUAGGAUACGUCGUUAUAGGAAGACUCAUGAACUAUUUUGAUGGGUCUUUGUAUCAGUAUGUUUGUGUCAACUUCUAAGUUUUGAUUCACUGUUGUAAUUAGUCUGAGACACAAGGACAAAUACUUUUAUCCUUUGUUUUAAAGAUUAACACUUCUUGCAAACAGGGAUGCUUCAAGGCCCACAACACCGUCAACAACUGCAGGAUAUGUUUGGGUGGAAGAUGGAGAAAAGGUUCACCUCGCCUCUUUUCAACCCGAGGGCAUAACUCUAUAGUGGCAUCAGUAGCUUGAAUAAACCAAAGGCCUGAUAUAAGUCGGGCCACAUGUGUUCUAAAUUACAACUAAGGAUGAUUAUCCGUUCCGUAGACGAUUCCAUUCUUCACCUUGAGGACAAGGUGACUUCAACCGGGGUGGAAUGAUAUGUGUGGGGUCAGACUUACGGGUCGGCCAUCGUGGGAAUUGGAUUGCAAGAUGGCACGUGGGUUAGUUAGAUUCAUUUGAUGUCUCGUUAUUUUUAGUUAUGAGUGGCUAGAAUAAUAAAGGGGUUGUAGGAUACCCACGUAUGAGUUUAUUUGUUUGCUUUGCAUAUAAUUCGUCAGUUAGUUCCCUUUCUUUAUAAGGGCCACGUUCCUUUAAUUAAUGUAUGCAGAAGAUAUGUUUUAGUCUAACUCCUUUCUCUUAAGCUUCUCGUCCAUAUUCUUAGCCGUCUGUUCUGCUUGGUACAUACCAUUUGGUAUCGUGAUACAUGGAUGGAUACUGAGGAUGAAUUCUACCGAGUAAUGAAUGAAAAGUUG